ACCGCCUACAUGGCAAAAUUACCAUAAAGGCUUUCAGUAAACAUAAAAAUUGAGUUUAUAAGGAAAGAGAGAGGGAAAUGAAAGAAUUGGACAGGGAAAAGCUCCUGCAUUAAGAUUGACGUGUCUUACAUUGGGCUCAGGACAGCUCCCUGGUAUCAGUCGGGCAGUCGGGGUAUGUGGUGGCGGGGCGUGGUCGAGUGUCAGCUGUGGACAGGGAGGAGGCGGGAUGAACUGGCAGUAGAAAACACUGACCAGCCAAAUGAAUCUCUGAAAGGAGAGGAUGAAGUUUUACACACACCAUGUGAACACACCAACCAACAGGACAACGUUUCCCAAAGGCAUCCCAGAACAAUGAUCACUGGUAGAUUUUAGAGUGAGCAACACAUCAAACUCCAGGUAAGAUCUUAACUUCACAGUGAUUCUAGGAACCAGUCAAUAGGUUUGUUGAUGUUGGUUUGUUGACUUUUUUUUUUUUUUUUUUUUCUUUCUAUGUUGUUGCUGAAACAUAUGAACAUUCACAUGCAACAUCAUGUUUGAGAACAACUUAGUUUUCCUGAAGAGCAGUGUAAAGUGGACCUACAAUAAAAGUUAGUUUAUUUGAUUAAAUCUCACUAAAUAAACAGGCAGGGCCCUGGGUAAUUAUUA